GACGAACGCUGGCGGCGUGCUUAACACAUGCAAGUCGUACGGUAAGGCCCUUUCGGGGGUCCCCGAGUGGCGAACGGGUGAGUAACACGUGAGUAACCUGCCCACAACUUUGGGAUAACGCUAGGAAACUGGUGCUAAUACUGGAUAUGUGCUCCUGCUGCAUGGUGGGGGUUGGAAAGCUCCGGCGGUUGUGGAUGGACUCGCGGCCUAUCAGCUUGUUGGUGGGGUAGUGGCCUACCAAGGCGGCGACGGGUAGCCGGCCUGAGAGGGUGACCGGCCACAUUGGGACGGAGAUACGGCCCAGACUCCUACGGGAGGCAGCAGUGGGGAAGAUUGAACAAUGGGCGCAAGCCUGAUGCAGCAACGCCGCGUGCGGGAUGACGGCCUUCGGGUUGUAAACCGCUUUCAGCAGGGACGAAGCUUUUUGUGACGGUACCUGCAGAAGAAGCACCGGCUAACUACGUG
rnacentral:rRNA from 1 species